AGUCGACGAACAAGUCGUUCAUACAGACGUCGCGCGCCAAGCAAAACCGACAGCGGUCGGCUAGGUUCGAGAGUUUGCGUUUCCUCGACAUAAUGACUAGGCUUUGGCGCUGGAUUCUUUACUCCUGGCGAUGCUCCACUACCUCCUGUGGGCCGCCACAGGCACCCUCGGCAACAUCAAGUGACGCUCACGCAAUAUACAAGCACUGCCUACUUAUAGGUUAUACGCUGGCUGACGCGCGUAUAAUGACCCGUUUUCGCUUCUCACACACUUACACCAUCCGGACUGUACUCAUAGAUUGUUACGUAGAGGCCGCGAAAUCUAUGCAGUAGUCGCGUCUACGCCGUACUCCAGAGUGUUCAGACCGCGAGAGUUGGAGGGGAGAAUCGUCGGAAAAGGGCGCGAGAGGCGCGAGUCGUCAGUCACGUCGAGUUUGCUGAUGUACGCCAUUCGCCUUCAACUCCUUUGGCUCCAUGUGGUAUUGUGGUCAUUGCUCGUAGGUUUUGGACCGUCCACUAUUCGCCUUGUUAAGUAUCCAUCAGCGCCACGAAGUCCGUGUAAAAUUAAAUGGUGUGGAGAAGUUAGGAACCUUGAGUAGGUUGUCGUUAACAAGGCGAAUAAAGUAGAUUUUUCGUUAUCUUUUAGCUGCUUUUGGUCGAGUGACGUAUAAGUAUAUAUACGAUGACGAUGCAGGCGCGCGAGAAAUCAUGAAACAGUAAGAAACUUGAAAUAAUUUUCUUUUUAUUUUUGUAUGCUUUCAUGCGAGUAUAAAAAGAAUAUUUACAUCGUCACGUGUUAUUGGACUAUACACAUGAAUAAUAAUGACCUAGCGUAUGAGUUAUUUUCCCAUUAAAGAUUUAAAAAACAAACUAAUUAUUAUUUCUAUUAAAUUUCACUCUCUUUUUGCUUUGAUCUAGAUAGCGCGAGCAAUUGACCCUAAAAAAGACAACGACAAAAAGUCUUCACAACUCUUUAUGCAUACAAAUUCUAUAAUUUUUUUAAAAAUUCAUAAUUUUAUCAUAAUAAUAAAACAGUCAUUUAAUCGA